AAUCGGGCUCUUCGAGUCUGAUAAUUGGAAUGAGUACAAUCUAAACCCCUUAACGAGAUUCCAUUGGAGGGCAAGUCUGGUGCCAGCAGCUGCGGUAAUUCCAGCUCCAAUAUCAUAUAUUUAAGUUGUUGCAGUUAAAAAGCUCGUAGUUGGACCUUGGGUUGGGUCGGUCGGUCCGCCUCACGGUGUGCACCGCCUGUCUCGUCCCUUAUGCCGGUGAUGCGUUCCUGACCUUAAUUGGCCGGGUCGUGCCUCCGGCGCCGUUACUUUGAAGAAAUUAGAGUGCUCAAACCAAGCCCACGCUCUGGAUACAUUAGCAUGAGAUAACACCACAGGAUUUCGGUCCUAUUGUGUUGGCCUUCGGGAUCGGAGUAAUGAUUAAGAGGGACGGUCGAGGGCAUUCGUAUUUAAUAGUCAGAGGUGAAAUUCUUGGAUUUAUGAAAGACGAACCACUGCGAAAGCAUUUGCAAAGGAUAUUUUCAUUAAUCAAGAACGAAAGUUGGGGCCUCAAAAACGAUCAGAUAUUGUCCUAGUCUCAACCAUAAACGAUGCCGACCAGGGAUCGGCGGAUGUUGCUUUUAGGACUCCGCCGGCACCUUGUGAGAAAUCAAAGUUUUUGGGUUCCGGGGGGAGUAUGGUCGCAAGGCUGAAACUUAAAGGAAUUGACGGAAGGGCACCAUCAAGAGUGGAGCCUGCGGCUUAAUUUGACUCAACACGGGAAAUCUUACCAGGUCCAGACAUAGUAAGGAUUGACAGACUGAGAGCUCUUUCUUGAUUCUAUGGGUGGUGGUGCAUGGCCGUUCUUAGUUGGUGGAGCGAUUUGUCUGGUUAAUUCCGUUAACGAACGAAACCUCAACCUGCUAACUAGCUAUGCGGAGCUCAUCCUACGCGGCCAGCUUCUUAGAGGGACUAUGGCCGUUUAGGCCGCGGAAGUUUGAGGCAAUAACAGGUCUGUGAUGCCCUUAGAUGUUCUGGGCCACACACGCGCUAUACUGAUGUAUUCAACGAGUAUAUAGCUUUGGCCGACAGGCCCGGGUAAUCUUUAGAAAAUUUCAUCGUGAUGGGGAUAGAUCAUUGCAAUUGUUGGUCUUCAAAGAGAAAUUCCUAGUAAACGCAAGUCAUCAGCUCGCGAUGACUACAUCCCUGCCCUUUGUACACACCGCCUAUCGCUCCUUCCAAUUGAAUGGCUCGGUGAAGUGUUCGGAUCGCUGCGACGCGGGCGGUUCGCCGCCCGCGACAUUGCGAGAAGUCCAUUGAACCUUAUCAUUUAGAGAAAGGAGAAGUCGUAACAAGAUUUUCGUAGGUGAACCUACGGAAGG
rnacentral:rRNA from 1 species